rnacentral:rRNA from 1 species
UCAGCCGCCGCGGUAAAACCAGCGCCUCGAGUGGUCAGGAGGUUUAUUGGGCCUAAAGCAUCCGUAGCCGGUUGUUUAAGUUUUCGGUUAAAUCUAUGCGCUUAACGUAUAGGCUGCCGAAAAUACUGGACAGCUAGGGAGUGGGAGAGGUACACGGUACUCAAUAGGAAGGGGUAAAAUCCUUUGAUCUGUUGAUGACCACCUGUGGCGAAGGCGGUGUACCAGAACACGUUCGACGGUGAGGGAUGAAAGCUGGGGGAGCAAACCGGAUUAGAUACCCGGGUAGUCCCAGCUGUAAACGACGCAAACUCGGUGAUGCAUUGGCUUGUGGCCAAUGCAGUGCCGCAGGGAAGCCGUUAAGUUUGCCGCUUGGGAAGUACGUACGCAGGUAUGAAACUUAAAGGAAUUGGCGGGGGAGCACA